rnacentral:lncRNA from 1 species
AUGGUGGAUAAACUUUUUGAUGUGCUGCUGGAUUCAGUUUGCCAGUAUUUUGUUAAGGUUGAGGUUUUUGCAUUAACGUCCUUCAAAGAUACCAGCCUGAAGUUUUCUUCUCUUGUUCUGUCUUUGCCAGGUAUUGGUAGGAGGAUGCUGGCUCCCAAGACUGUGUCAGGGAGCAGUCCCUUCUCCUCAAGUUUUGUGAAUAAUUUCAGCAAGAAGGUCCCAGACUGGCUAGUUACCACCUGGAAGUUUCUGCUGCAUCUGCCUUCUCAGUGCUCAAGUAAAGACUUUUGCAUUUUCUUCCUCGCAUUCCUGAAGAUGGGGUUCAGGUUGCCCAAACACAUCUGGGUGAUCCACACAGGGCAGUGACCGCCUGUGCCAGCCCUAUGAGGUAGCUGGAGAAUGUUCCUUAUUUCUCAAGCUCUGGGCAGAUGCCAGGGCUGGGGUGACCCAUGCCCUGAAGUUUCUUGCUUUGGAGGGUGGGUCACAUUUUCUGUUGGCAAGAAAGGCAAAGGUCACAGGAAGGCAGCGACCCGGGACCUCUCUGUGCCAUGGGCCCAAACAAAAAAGACCUGAACACUCUAUGCUAAAAGCUCAGGUGCUCCCUAGGGCUUCAUGGCCUCUGCUGAGGGAAGAUGAAUACUACGUUCUCCCAGAGCUUUAGGAGCUGGUAGCAAGCAGCCUCCCCAACACAAAAUCUUUUGGAAACCUCAAACUGUGUCUAAAACAUUUGUGCACAUUUUGCAUCCUAUUUCCCAUAUGGAAGCAUGUUUUAGAAACAACCCUCAAUUUCCUAAAUAUGCAAGAGAAAUGGGUAUUGUAGGACAAUGUGGCUUUUUUUUUUUUUUCUUGAGACGGAGUUUCGCUCUUGUUACCCAGGCUGGAGUGCAAUGGCAUGAUCUCGGCUCACCGCAACCUCUGCCUCCUGGGUUCAGGCAGUUCUCCUGCCUCAGCCUCCUGAGUAGCUGGGACUACAGGCACGCGCCACCAUGCCCAGCUAAUUUUUUGUAUUUCUAGUAGAGACGGGGUUUCAUCAUGUUGACCAGAAUGGUCUCGAUCUCUUGACUUCGUGAUCCACCCACCUUGGCCUCCCAAAGUGCUGGGAUUACAGGCUUGAGCCACUGCGCAUGGCCCAACAAUGGGGCUUUUAAAAACAUGUUGUUGUUUAGGCCGGGGAUGGUGGCUUACACCUGUAAUCCCAGCACUUUGGGAGGGUGAGGUGGGCAGGUCACCUGAGGUUG